rnacentral:tRNA from 1 species
UAAAAUUUUAAUAUUGAUUGUUACUCAAUAAUUUAUAUUUUAAUUGUUGUUUUUAU